AAUACGUAACUGAACUGACAAUUUAAAGGUGAUGUAUGAACCCCAAGCCAUCCAAAAGAAAACAAGUAACGUUAACACAACAUUAAGUACUUGCUACUAUUCAUGAGGGAAUUUGAAAGAUAAACAAAGCAUACUUCGAUUGAAAAAUAACCACGGUCAACGUAGUCUCCAAGAAAUAAAUAACGUGUUGUUGAAGGAGAACCACCAACUUCAAAGAGCUUCAUAAGAUCGUAAAACUGUCCGUGAAUAUCGCCACAAACUAAACAAAACCAAACACAGAUUAGUUUUUCAAUCGUCUAUACCAAAAGAUUAAAGAGCAAACGACCAGGCUAACUUGAAAGGAAGAGUUUUUUCCUAAUAAAUUACUGACCUGUUAUAGGUGCAUCGACCUCCAAUACAUUCCUUUCUUUACGCAAUACUACAGUAGCAUCGCGAAUGAUGCGUAAGGCGACUUCUCCUUCGAUCCGUCCUUCUUCAAUAAAAUGACUCUUUAACA